GUGGGGUAACGGCCUACCAAGGCGAUGACGGGUAGCGGGUCUGAGAGGAUGAUCCGUCACACUGGGACUGAGACACUGCCCAGACUCCUACGGGAGGCUGCAGUCGAGAAUCUUCCACAAUGGACGAAAGUCUGAUGGAGCGACACCGCGUGGGGGAUGACGGCCUUCGGGUUGUAAACUCCUUUCGCUAGGGACGAAGCUUUUUGUGACGGUACCUAGAUAAGAAGCACCGGCUAACUACGUGCCAGCAGCCGCGGUAAUACGUAGGGUGCGAGCGUUGUCCGGAAUUACUGGGCGUAAAGGGCUCGUAGGUGGUUUGUCGCGUCGUCUGUGAAAUUCCGGGGCUUAACUCCGGGCGUGCAGGCGAUACGGGCAUAACUUGAGUACUGUAGGGGUAACUGGAAUUCCUGGUGUAGCGGUGAAAUGCGCAGAUAUCAGGAGGAACACCGAUGGCGAAGGCAGGUUACUGGGCAGUUACUGACGCUGAGGAGCGAAAGCAUGGGUAGCGAACAGGAUUAGAUACCCUGGUAGUCCAUGCCGUAAACGGUGGGCGCUAGGUGUGAGGGUCUUUUCACGACUUUCGUGCCGUAGCUAACGCAUUAAGCG
rnacentral:rRNA from 1 species